ACGCUGGCGGCAGGCCUAACACAUGCAAGUCGAGCGGUAGAGAGAAGCUUGCUUCUCUUGAGAGCGGCGGACGGGUGAGUAAUGCCUAGGAAUCUGCCUGGUAGUGGGGGAUAACGUUCGGAAACGGACGCUAAUACCGCAUACGUCCUACGGGAGAAAGCAGGGGACCUUCGGGCCUUGCGCUAUCAGAUGAGCCUAGGUCGGAUUAGCUAGUUGGUGAGGUAAUGGCUCACCAAGGCGACGAUCCGUAACUGGUCUGAGAGGAUGAUCAGUCACACUGGGACUGAGACACGGUCCAGACUCCUACGGGAGGCAGCAGUGGGGAAUAUUGGACAAUGGGCGAAAGCCUGAUCCAGCCAUGCCGCGUGUGUGAAGAAGGUCUUCGGAUUGUAAAGCACUUUAAGUUGGGAGGAAGGGCAUUAACCUAAUACGUUAGUGUUUUGACGUUACCGACAGAAUAAGCACCGGCUAACUCUGUGCCAGCAGCCGCGGUAAUACAGAGGGUGCAAGCGUUAAUCGGAAUUACUGGGCGUAAAGCGCGCGUAGGUGGUUUGUUAAGUUGGAUGUGAAAUCCCCGGGCUCAACCUGGGAACUGCAUUCAAAACUGACUGACUAGAGUAUGGUAGAGGGUGGUGGAAUUUCCUGUGUAGCGGUGAAAUGCGUAGAUAUAGGAAGGAACACCAGUGGCGAAGGCGACCACCUGGACUAAUACUGACACUGAGGUGCGAAAGCGUGGGGAGCAAAC
rnacentral:rRNA from 1 species